UCCCAUUCCCUCUAUAAAUAGGAGAUGUCACGCCCCGAUCCUCCGAGCGCGCGAACAUCCCACUCUGGUCGAUACAAAUGCGACUUCCCAGGACACGUCGCCGACCCAUUCAUUUUUAUAUUACACAUGCGGAAGCGAAACAAAUCUCCUAACAACAUUUAACUUGGGAUAGAAAAGCAUGCAAUCAAUCACAACCAAACAAGCUUUCUAUAAACACAUAGGUUUAUAUACAACACAGGAUUGUCUACAAAAUAGACAGGCUCAACAACUAGGGAAUUGUCCUAUGACCAACUUGUCAGACACGUUCGCCGAUUCUUCAGCCUUCACCUUCUGAACUCCAGGACUUCCGGUCCUCCACGACCGUCAUAUAGAGACCUGAAAUAUUAUCCCACAACCGGGAUGAGACUACGUCUCAGUGAGUCCUACCCUCUAAAACUCAAUUAGGAAGAAAAUACGCCUCAGGGCGCUCUAGCCACACAAAUAGGAUAGAAGGCUUACCUCGCCUAAGUCCAUUUCCUGCACGUCAGUACAAUUCAUAUUCAAACAAUGCUCGCACAAGCUGAAACUACCGACACACCCAUCGGUCUAUCAAUUCAAUCAAUCCAAUUGAUAUCAUACGAUCCACAUAUCUAUCAAUUCAUACCAUCUAUUAAACCAUACCAUCUAUUCAUCCAUCAAUACAUUCACGGCUCACACAAGCUGAAAUGGAUGCAAUGCUGUCACAAGCUGAUAUAGAUGGUAACUCGCACAAGCUGAUAUAUACAUAGAUGGUAGCUCACACAAGCUGAUAGAUAGAUCGUGUUCGCACAAGCUGAUAAAACGAUCUUAGCUCACCAGAAGCUGCCGCAAUAUUCAAUAUAGUAUAUUAUAGCUCACCAGAAGCUGCCGCAAUAUUCAAUAUAGUAUACUAUAGCUCACCAGAAGCUGUCGCAAUAUAUAUAUAUAUAUAUAUCAUAAUUGCUCGCCUAAGCGGAUACAUAUAUAUAUAAACCAAUGCUCGCCAAGGCUGAUCAUUCAAUAAUAAACUAUAGAACUGGAUAUUCAAUCCAAUAACAACCAACGAUUCAAACUAGUCAUACAAAGCAAUUACGGUGCUAAAAGCCAACACCGGGUAUUUUCAAGUUAAAUACCACAACUUCAUCAAUAUCACUCAAUUCCACACUUUUGGAAUAAUUAACCAUAAUCAUCAAUAACUCAAUUUCUCAAUUUAAACAUACAAUUAACACAAACCGACCGCACUGCUGCGAUCAGCGCGAAAUUCUAACGACCGGCCAUCCCGGCAUAAUUUUCAAAAUUAUUAAAUAAUUAAAUUUAAUUCCGAAAAUUAAAUAAUUAAAUAUUAUAUUAUAAUAAUAUAAUUUAAUAAAAUAAUAUUUAUAAAUUCGAAAUAAUUAAUUAAUUGAAAAUAAUUAAUUAGGGCUUAAACAAGAUUACACUAAUUUAAUCAUACAAUUAGCCCUAAUUAAACAUCCAUUAAACUAAUCAUACAACUAAUCUAAUUUACAUUAAAAUAAUCUAAUUUAAUCACAUAAACCUAAUUAGACUAAUCUAAACACCCCUUAAGCGUCAUUAACUCACUAAGCAAGAAUUAGAGGAUAAACUCACCGGUUUUGCGCGCCGGUGAGUUCACGGCGACCACGACGCCAAGGCGGUCGAUAAACCCCAAAGAGGCGACACCAACGGAGGCCGGGAAGACACUGAAAACGGGCCUCGAAAUCUCCAAAACCUUGCUGUCUUCUGCUUCUGCUCUUGGCUGAACUGCAGAGAAGAAACCAGCAGCUUCAAUGGCGAAAACGGGCCGAUCGGAGCUCCGGCAAGCGGGUGGUUGGCAACCGGUGGCUCCCGGAGGUCUUGGGGGUCUUGCUGGAGGUUGGGAUGGGCGGAGGAAGGACCGGAAUGGGAGAAAAAUGGCCGAAAACGCGAAACAGUGCAGGCUGCAGGCGGACCGACGGACCGGCGACCGGUUCCUUCCCGACGGCGCCCAGGCAGGCCGGCGGCUCCGUUCGGGACGAAAUUGGACUCGUUGGAACGGUCUGUCUCUCCCGGUCACGGUGAUAGGUGGAUCAUUGUCUGAUUCAUCCGGGAAGACCACUUUUGACUCGAUUUUUCACUGAAGGGUCAGCUGGAGCAGAACUGGAGAAGAAGAACAUGGAGGAGAGAGAAGCUCCGUCGAGAUGGGGACCGAAUGGGGGAAAGAGAGAGUGAUGGGAGGGCUGUCAAAGCCUCCAUAAAACCUGCCCCAAGUCCCCAUGCCCAU
rnacentral:lncRNA from 1 species